rnacentral:rRNA from 1 species
GACGAACGCUGGCGGCGUGCUUAACACAUGCAAGUCGAACGGAAAGGCCCUGCUUUUGUGGGUUGCUCGAGUGGCGAACGGGUGAGUAACACGUGAGUAACCUGCCCUUGACUUUGGGAUAACUUCAGGAAACUGGGGCUAAUACCGGAUAGGAGCUCCUGCUGCAUGGUGGGGGUUGGAAAGUUUCGGCGGUUGGGGAUGGACUCGCGGCUUAUCAGCUUGUUGGUGGGGUAGUGGCUUACCAAGGCUUUGACGGAUAGCCGGCCUGGGAGGGUGACCGGCCACAAGGGGACUGAGAUAGGGCGCAGACGGCUACGGGAGGCAGCAGGGGGGAAUAUUGCACAAUGGGCGGAAGCGUGAUGCAGCAACGCCGCGUGCGGGAAGACGGCCUUCGGGUUGUAAACCGCUUUCGCCUGUGACGAAGCGUGAGUGACGGUAAUGGGUAAAGAAGCACCGGCUAACUACGUG